rnacentral:rRNA from 1 species
GACGAACGCUGGCGGCGUGCUUAACACAUGCAAGUCGAACGCUGAAGCACCAGCUUGCUGGUGUGGAUGAGUGGCGAACGGGUGAGUAAUACGUGAGUAACCUGCCCUUGACUCUGGGAUAAGCCCGGGAAACUGGGUCUAAUACUGGAUGCUACAUGUCACCGCAUGGUGGUGUGUGGAAAGGUUUUACUGGUCUUGGAUGGGCUCAGGGCCUAUCAGCUUUUUGGGGAGGUAAUGGCUCACCAAGGCUACGACGGGUAGCCGGCCCGAGAGGGGGACCGGCCCAACUGGGAAUGGGACACGGCCCAGACUCCUACGGGAGGCCACAGUGGGGAAUAUUGCACCAUGGGCGAAAGCCUGAUGCAGCGAAGCCGGGGGAGGGAUGACGGCCUUCGGGUUGGAAACCUCUUUCAGCAGGGAAGAAGCCACAAGUGACGGUACCUGCAGAAGAAGCGCCGGCUAACUACGUG